GAAAGAUGGCUGAGUGGUUUAUAGCGCCAACUUGGAAGGUUGGUUCCUUUUUGGGAUCGUGGGUUCGAAUCCCGCUCUUUCCG
rnacentral:tRNA from 1 species